rnacentral:lncRNA from 1 species
CUAUUAUCACAUGCUUGGGGUUUGUCAGGGAUGGGGGAGGCCUCUGGUUUGUGCUGUCCACACUGCUUCCUCCCCUGGAGGCACUGUGUGUAACAGGAACCUGGUUGAACAUUGCAAAAAGAUGUGUGGAAAUAACUGAUUUUCCUCUUCUGAAAACCUGUGCCUGAUCUGCAGGAGCAGGAAUCCUUUUGAAGAUACUCCUGCAUACUUCAUGUGUACUGGAGGCAGGUUGCAAGGCUGUUUUCCUUUUUCCUUGCUUAAAGCAAGCCACUGGAAGGAUUAGAAUCUCUGGAGAUGUCCCAUCUGGAGAGCCAGCUGUGAGGGAAGAGUUUGUUUAUAUCCUUAAGAAGAAGGACCAGAUCUUGGACUCAUGUAGGGAUGAUAGUCCCCAGCUUUCCCCUGGAAGGCUGGGGCUGGCCUGGAUGAACUACAGAUUUUACUUGUCUGCCCUUGUCCCUAUCCCAGCACAGAGUCACCUCCAGCUCAGCCCAGGAUCUGUUGUUCCUCCCUUGUGAAGGACACAAUGAAAUCUUGCCCAGGUGACAGUCUCCAGGGACUGCUCUGCAAAGACUUGCCAGACCUCUGGCAGCCACAGACUCACUUAAAUUUCAACAGCAAGCUAGUUGGUGCCAAAGCCCAUUUGUAUCACUGAGAAAAAUGGUAAAAUCAUUGUUAGGUGUUCACUAAAAUACUCUAAAUUUUAGAGAACACGAAGCAUGAGUCAGGCAUUGAAACCAGCAUCCAAAGGAGGGAGGGAGUGGUGAGGGGCAGCAGAAGUGCUUAUGAAAUAUUUUGUUUCACUGGCAAGAGGACAAGAAAUAAUUGGGCCUUAAAUCAAGGAAAUGGGAGAAUAGGAACAGCAAAUCAAGGGAAAUAGUAGAAAAUUAGGUCUUAGAGUAGAGAAAUGUGUACACAUGAUCACCUGGUGGUUCUGGCAGAGAUAUAUGCCCAUAAAUCUUCUCUUUUAACCUCUUCCCUGUUGCUUUAUGGGGAAUAGUGUCAGGCUUGCUGGCCCCAUCCAUCUUUUCUAGAGACUACUGGUUUUGGUUUCAACUUGCUUGGUGCUGAGUACCCACUGAGUGGCCUGAAUCUGCUUUAGAGCUGGAGAGGGAGCUCCCAGCCUGCCUGGGGGCAGCCUGGAGACUGUGACCCCCAAGAGAAGAUAAUUGUGCAGAUCCAUCCUGUAUGUUAGAUGGAUGGGGUGAGCCAUGGAGGACUCUCUUCUAGAGCUUGUAGUGUGUGUGUUCACACUCACAGAUGUUGAAACCUAGAAGAGUAAGGGAGCCUCUGUGGAGACCCAGGCAAUUUUCCCUGCUAUUUAGGCACAGGACACCUCAGCAGCUUCUUCCAUCCACAAUUUCUGCUAUUUAAAAAAAAAAAAAAGUUAUUAAAAAUCCCCUUUAUGCCUCCCUUAAGGUCCCAGGCUUACUUUUCUUACAAAAAUAAUGAAAUGUAAAAAUAAAGCUUUCCCUGUUUGCUUUCUGCCA